GACAGAGGGUGCAAACGUUGUUCGGAAUUACUGGGCGUAAAGCGCGCGCAGGCGGCCUUGCAAGUCGGGCGUGAAAUCCCACGGCUCAACCGUGGAAGUGCACUCGAAACUGCGAGGCUAGAGUCUUGGAGAGGAAGGCGGAAUGCUUGGUGUAGAGGUGAAAUUCGUAGAUAUCGGGAGGAACACCGGCGGCGAAGGCGGCGGCCUGGGUCGAUACUGACGCUGAGGCGCGAAAGCGUGGGGAGCAAACAGG
rnacentral:rRNA from 1 species